CCAAUAGCGUAUAUUAAAGUUGUUGCAGUUAAAAAGCUCGUAGUUGAAUUUCGGGAUUGACGUAAUGGUCAUGCCUUAAGGGGUAUGAACUGUUACUGUUGAUUUCUCACCUUCUGGAGAAACUUGAUGUCCUUUAUUGGGUGUCUUGCGGAUCCAGGACCUUUACCUUGAAAAAAUUAGAGUGUUUAAAGCAGGCAUUUUUGCUCGAAUACAUUAGCAUGGAAUAAUAGAAUAGGACGGCAUGGUUCUAUUUUGUUGGUUUCUAGGAUCACCGUAAUGAUUAAUAGGGAUAGUUGGGGGCAUUAGUAUUCAAUUGUCAGAGGUGAAAUUCUUGGAUUUAUUGAAGACUAACUACUGCGAAAGCAUUUGCCAAGGAUGUUUUCAUUAAUCAAGAACGAAAGUUAGGGGAUCGAAGACGAUCAGAUACCGUCGUAGUCUUAACCAUAAACUAUGCCGACUAGGAAUCAGACGAUGUUAAUUUUUUAAUGACUCGUUUAGCACCUUACG
rnacentral:rRNA from 1 species